rnacentral:lncRNA from 1 species
CUUUCUCUCUUCGCCUGCUGCCGUCCAUGUAAGAUGGGACUUGCUCCUCCUUGCCUUCCACCAUGAUUGUGAGGCUUCCUCAGCCACGUGGAACUAUGCCCUGACCUUCCGGGAAACCCUCGGUGAGAGGCCCACAGCCUCGCUUCUAGGGUCACCACUGCUUCUUCCAGUCUAGCCAAACAGCUCCUAGUACAGCUCAGAGCACCCUGCAAGGAGGGCACGUGUUAAAUCGAGGAGCACACAUGCUCCACGAGGAAUUCUUUGCUUUGAGGCCAUGCACAGAGGUGGGUUCACUAUGAAGCUUGUGAAAUAAGCUUCAGGGCCCGCAUUUGCAUGGGCCACAGAGAGUCUGGGAGCUGCAGAAGGUUCAAGGGAAGAGGAGCCAUCACAAGCAGAAUAUUCUAGAAGGCAUUUCUGGCAAAUGGCCCAAAGAGGCCUCAGGAGAAAAGAACUUGAGUCUUCAAGGUAACCUGCGACUUUUUUGUCUCAUUUUAAAUAUCAACUUUCAUGCCUAAUUUUUAUAA